UUUUUAUCUUUAUUCAUACUUUUACUUCUACUUUUCUUUUCUUCGAAUAGGUUUCAUCUUCCCCUUACAGAUUCACGGUUCUUCUUAAAUUCUCGGACCAUUAUUUUCGUUCUCAAAUCCUUCUUUGUACAUUUUUCUCCCGCCCUAGCCUCAUUACCCAUUCAUUCUUCUCCUCCAUUUAAUCGUCUUCCACGACCAACACUCACAGUUUUCGUUCACAACCCUAAACUGCAUCAGUUUUUCCUCUACACAAGCCUCUGCGAGCACCUUGUUGCACCUUACCACGAGUUCAAAUUGUUGAGUGUCUGCCCUUGUUUGGAUAUUUUUCCGUCGAUGGACGCUCACACACUCUAGGAAAUAACAAUUGUGAUCGUUUCCGUAAGUACAUAGCAUGGUGGAGCAAAUUUUGUGAACUCUGGAUACACCAAGGGGGAUGGACUUGGAGUUGAGAUUAUUGGCACUUUUGUUCUUGUCUGCAUCGUUUUCUCUGUAACUGAUGCCAAGAGAAACGCUAUAGACUCUUACGUUCCUAUUUUGGCUCCACUUCUCAUUGGAUUUGUUGUGUUCUUGGUCCACUUGGCCACGAUUCCCAUCAUAUGAAUGGCAUUAACCUGCUAGGAGUCUUGGAAUAGCCAUUAUCUACAACAGGGACCAUGCAUGGGAUGACCAAGGAAGCAUGCCACUGAAUGUCUUCCAACAUUGGACAUGUCAAAAUCAACCCCAACUCAAGAAUUGGUUGCUAAGGGAUCUUCGUAUCCCAAAGGACUUCCUUGUUCAGAUGUUAGGGGAAGAACGGGUUAUCAAAGGCAA